GCGGGGAGUUCGGUCUGCGAGCAGAGUGCCCAUGGACCGGCACCGAGCUGCGGGCCGUGCGGCUUGCACUGCGGCUGGAAGGAGAUCCAGGCUGCGCAUCCGUCUCCAGAGCCGCGAGACAAGCCUGCUGUGCAAGAUUCCCUCCGUGCCUGGACUUCCUCCAGAGAAGGCAUCCUGAGUGGAAUCCCGUGUCCUGCACCACCACCUGACAAACAUUUUGGACAAAAUCUUGGACUAGGCAACCUGCAGAACCAGCCCUGCCAGCUUAAAGAAUGCCAGUACUGCUAUCUGUAAUAUUCUGUGUAAAUUCACAAAAUUAGUCUGUAAAAACUAGCGGUAUCAAAAAGUUGCUUUAACAGUUCAAAGUAGGCACUGCACAGAGAGGAGAUAUUCCCUAUAUGUAUGUAUUGGGGUUUUUGUUGGAGGUUUUCUUUAGCACUUUAACUAAGAGUGGAGAUGACCAAAGCCACUGUUUUCCAGAUGCUUUUCUUGGAUUCAGAAACACCAGGAGACAACUGACUCAAAGGAAAAGGAGUGACCCACCCCAGAUCUCUUCUCACACCCUACCUUAGGCUGGCCUAGGGAAAGGCUGCAAAGCACAAGUAACAGUAACACUGAACUGGAGGCACAGGACAAAAUAAGAAAGUGGUUUUUGAACGCCUGAAUAUCUGAGUCUGCCCUGUGCUAUGCACCCCACCCUUUUUGCCCAUCCCUCAAUCUCUGUUUUUCAAAAGCUUUGAGCCGUGUAAUUUCUGAUCUCUUAAACUCAGCUUCAAAAGUGUAAAACACUGGCUGCCAUUGCAACAUGCACCUUUCUUCUUCCUUGACUGAGCCCCUCCUACACUAAUUCUGCCUUCAGCUGCAAGCUCUCUGUCCCAGGGACCACCUAUGACAAUUAUGUUCAUAAAGAACCUUCCUGGAGUGGAUCCCACUAUUUGACAACACACUUCUAGACCCACUGUGCACAACACUACAAUAAUCCACGUUUAUGUUAGGUGUAACUUCCUUGAGCAACAAAUGAAGAACAGUUCAACUUGCUGUCAUGUAGAUCUGCUUGAAAAGACAGCAGUGUAUAUAUGAAGUACCAUUAAUAAAGUGUUAAAGUUUCGUUCCCAGUGUUAUCCAGGGAUUCCAGAAAUAUUUUUAUAACACAUUAAAGGAGCAGAUGAAAUUGAA